GACCUGGAGGUGUCGUAGAUUGUUGCGAAGGAUAUGUGUGGAACAAAAUAGAGAAUAGAUGCAUACUAGAUAUCUGCCCAAGUGCUAACUUUUCACUCGAGUGUUGUCCGGGAUAUGUAUGGAACACCACAGAAAAUAGAUGCAUAGAAUGUAAUGCUGGUAGAAUUGGACCUCAUUGUGACAAAGUUUGUCCGUACCCAGGGUUUGGAAUAAGAUGUCUCUCAAAAUGUAAUUGCAGUUUGGAUCAAUGCAAUACCGCUGACGGGUGCCUUGGUAUACUGAUCUUGGAUAUUUUUUUUAUAUAGCUUUAGGAUAUGUCGUUUUUCUUAUAAUAAGUAUCAAGAAGUUCAAAUAUCAACUAUCGCUCAAAAUUUCAAAAUCUAAAAUCCUAAAAAUUAAAAAAGAGGUUGUAAAUUAAUAUAAUAGCUCGAAAUUUUAAGCGUUAAAAUCCUAAAAAUUAAAAAAAAUAAUUGUAAAUUAAUAUGAUAGAUGAUACAUGUUUAUUACCUUUACCCUUACUGCAAAAUUACAGAAUGUAAUGCUGGUAGAAUUGGACCUCAUUGUGACAAAGUUUGUCCGUACCCAGGGUUUGGAAUAAGAUGUCUCUCAAAAUGUAAUUGCAGUUUGGAUCAAUGCGAUCCCGCUGACGGGUGCCUUGAGUGGACCAGUGGGCCAACAACACAAUCACUAAUAUUUCAGAUAGAAAGGUUUACUACUUCAUCGCAAAGAAAAAGACCGAAACCUCCAUUAGUCAUCAUAUAUGCAGGAUUGGUAUUAUAUUAUACGAUUUCCUAAGUCCAGCAACUUCAAGUCAGGAUUAAGGCAAAUGGGUUUGAUAGAAGGAAAAUUUUGUGUGGAAAAAGUCUACUGAAAGGAAGAGAUUUGACCUGUUUGAAAAGGACAUCUGGCAUGUGUAUAUGUUGUUACAUUUCGAAAAGUUUGCAGCCAUAUAGAAUAACUGUCUUAUUUUUACUAAAUUAUGUUUUGAAUUUUUUUCAAUCACGUUUAGAUUUCAAACGUUUUAAAAAAAAUAUCCAUAUGUAACGAUUUAAUAAUAUUUGUCAAAAGCCUUAAAGAAAAAAAAUAUAUAUGUAUAUAUAAUUUGUGAGGUUUGCAUAGUUUGAUCAAUGAAAAACGAUGUUAGGGUUAUGAGUGCUUUUAUUAUGUUAUUAUCCAUAUAAAAGUAUUAUUUGACCCUGUCAAAACAUUUAUCAAGAGUAAAUAUUCGACAUAGAAUUAUAGAACUUUGAUGUUCAUUUUCUCAUUCAAUCAUGAUAUCGGAAUUGAAGGUAUAAUAAAUCAAUUAAUAGAGAACUAAGUAAAUUGUAGGUCUAAAUAAGUCUCAAUAAGAAUAUAAAUAUAUCAAAUGAAUGUAUAAAUGUAGUAAAGAAAUUGCAGUUAUUUAGGAAACAUUCAAUGAAAUCAAAAGACAUAUUCAAACAUUGACCAGCCUAUAUAUAAAGCAAUUACUUGUGAUGACUCUUCUGAAAAUAAGGCCCAUUAGUGAAUUCAUACAUAAAGACUAAACCAGCAAGUCAUUUAGAUACAUGCCGUCCGAAAAUUUAUUUUAAAGAAAUAAAGAUAGUAUACUUAUAUGUACAAACAUUAUAAUACUAAUAAAACUAUAUAUUUUUAAUCAUAAAAUAUAAGACUGCUACAUGUACAUAGUUUUCAAGCCUAUCAAUGCGUUUCCUUCCUCAAAGGGGAGUUGAACAAGUUGCCUGUCUAAUAUUAUAUCAGUUAUUUUUAUAAAUUAAUAUAGAUACAAAACACAAAUGGUGUAAAGUCGUGACAGGCUUAAUUCGAAUCACUUUUAGUUUUAAUUAAUUAUUUUUUUAGCGGGAUAAGUGCAAUGCAUUUCAAUCAUUACUGCUUAAUGAUUUUAGUGAAUACAUGGUUUAGUGUUCUUCACUUUCAUUUUGAUCCAAUGAUAAUAUAUUUGAUAGUUGUUUUACAUGUAUUGACCAGUUAGAUUUUAUUUAAUCUGAAUUUGAAAUUAAUGAAUUUGUAAAAUCAUCAGAAAGGUACCAUUCAACUUUCUUUGAUAUAUUUCUUUGAUUCAUAGUUUCUUUGUUCAGGAUUAUCGAAUAAACUUGUGU